rnacentral:rRNA from 1 species
GGUGAGAAUCCUGUCCACCGUAUGACUAAGGUUUCCUGGGGAAGGCUCGUCCGCCCAGGGUUAGUCGGGACCUAAGCCGAGGCCGAUAGGCGUAGGCGAUGGACAACAGGUUGAUAUUCCUGUACCAGUUGUUUUUGUUUGAGCAAUGGAGGGACGCAGUAGGCUAAGGAAUGCAUGCGAUUGGAAGUGCAUGUCCAAGCAAUGAGUCUUGAGUAGAGUUAAAUGCUUUACUCUCUAAGGACAAGUUGUGACGGGGAGCGAAAUAAUAGUAGCGAAGUUCCUGAUGUCACACUGCCAAGAAAAGCUUCUAGU